GGCUCAGUAACAUGUGGUCAAUCUACCCUCAGGACGGAGAUAACCUCGGGAAACUGAGGCUAAUAUCCGAUAGAUAAUGGAUCCUGGAAUGGUUCAUUAUUCAAACGGCACAUUGCUCAUGCGCAGUGUAUCGCCUGAGGAUGAGACUGCACCCUAUCAGGUAGUUGGUGGGGUAAUGGCCCACCAAGCCUAUAACGGGUACGGGCCCUGAGAGGGGGAGCCCGGAGAUGGGCACUGAGACAAGGGCCCAGGCCCUACGGGGCGCAGCAGGCGCGAAACCUCUGCAAUGCGCGAAAGCGCGACAGGGCCACCCCGAGUGCUAGCCGCUGAGGUUAGCUUUUCCUUAGUGUAGUAAGCUAAGGGAAUAAGCGGGGGGCAAGCCUGGUGUCAGCCGCCGCGGUAAUACCAGCUCCGCGAGUGGUCGGGACGAUUAUUGGGCCUAAAGCGUCCGUAGCCGGCCUAUCAAGUCUCUGGUUAAACCUCAAGGCUCAACCUUGAGAUCGCUGGAGAUACUGUUAGGCUAGGGGGCGGGAGAGGUUGAGGGUACUUCGCGGGUAGGGGCGAAAUCCUAUAAUCCGCGAAGGACCACCAGUGGCGAAGGCGCUCAACUGGAACGCGCCCGACGGUGAGGGACGAAAGCCAGGGGAGCAAAGGCGAUUAGAUACCCCCGUAGUCCUGGCUGUAAACGAUGCGGGCUAGGUGUUGGGUUGGCUUCGUGCCAACCCGGUGCCGCAGUGAAGACGAUAAGCCCGCCGCCUGGGAAGUACGGCUGCAAGGCUGAAACUUAAAGGAAUUGGCGGGGGAG
rnacentral:rRNA from 1 species